rnacentral:lncRNA from 1 species
UUUUUGAAGUUCCUGCCUCUGUAAGUCCGCAGUCAUUCGCCCUGUUGCCGGAAUAUGUUGACUCGAAGUUCCCGACGCGAAGUUCGGGACCGCUGAGUCCCGGACAUGUUGAGGAGGCGCAAGUUACGAACUUCAGUGCGAUGCCGACGGAACUGGCGCUGGUGUACGACGCGGUGCAGCUGUUCGCCAGAGCGCUCAGCGACCUCGACAAGACGCGGGCCAUCGAAGUGCUGCCGCUCAACUGCUCCAAGGAGCAAGUCUGGCCACUUGGAGCCACACUCGUCAACUACAUCAAGUGGGUUGAGCUGUACGGCUUCUCUGGACUGGUGCGUUUCAACGCAUGUUUUAACGUUGAAUGUUAAG